rnacentral:rRNA from 5 species
UUGAUGGAUAGUAUGAAUGGUAUAACGAGUAUAACACUGUCUCAAUAAAAAUCUUAUAAAAUUAGAAUAAUAGUAAAGAUACUAUUUUAAACUGUAAGACGAGAAGACCCUAUAGAGCUUAACUAUAACUCUUUAAAAAUUGAUAAACUAGUUCAUCAAUAAAAAGAGAUAGGUAGUUUAGUUGGGGCGACUGCUUUCUAAAAUUAACGAAAGUAAACAAAAUUAAUUAAAAAAAUUUACUGUUUAAUCUAUAAAUUUAACAGUUAUUAUAAUAGGUAAUAAUGACCCGUUAAUAGUUAAUAAUAACAUUAACGAUCAAUAAAUAAAAGCUACCUUAGGGAUAACAGGAUAAUUUUGUU